UUGGUUCAUCAGGCUGAUCCCCAGUCUUCAUGGAGGAGAUUACUGAGUAGUGUGGUUCAUCAGGCUGACCCCCAGUCUUCAUGGAGGAGAUUACUGAGUAGUUUGGUUCAUCAGGCUGACCUCCAGUCUUCAUGGAGGAGAUUACUGAGUAGUUUGGUUCAGGCUGACCUCCAGUCUUCAUGGAGGAGAUUACUGAGUAGUUUGGUUCAUCAGGCUGACCUCCAGUCUUCAUGGAGGAGAUUACUGAGUAGUUUGGUUCAGGCUGAUCCCCAGUCUUCACAUUAAGUUAUUGAGGGAUGAUGAUGUUUUGGCAAUGUGAAGAUAAGAAUUCCAGUGUGUGGUACCUCUGUAUCUGAUAUAGAAUUGACUAGAUGAGGUCCGACAGUGGGGAGGGUGAAGGUUAUAUAGAUGGAUUUCAGAAUUAACCUGGAAGAAUCCAUUGAAGGGUUUUGGUAAACUGGGACCUGGAAGAAUCCAUUGAAGGGUUUAGAUAAACUGGGACCUGGAAGAAUCCACUGAAGGGUUUUGGUAAACUGGGACCUGGAAGAAUCCACUGAAGGGUUUUGGUAAACUGGGACCUGGAAGAAUCCACUGAAGGGUUUAGGUAAACUGGGACCUGGAAGAAUCCAUUGAAGGGUUUAGGUAAACUGUCUGGGACCUGGAAGAAUCCAUUGAAGGGUUUAGAUAAACUGUCUUGGAGGUAUGAGUAUAUGUAGAUGAAAUGGCAUAAUUGGUGUACAUUAAUGUUGUAAAUAGACAAGAUAUUGAGUUUCUUAAACAAAGGUCCAGAUGGAGCCAGGUAAUUAGAAGAAGUGGCUAGUCUUGCACAUUUCUUUUGUAUGAUGAGUAAUUUGUGUAGGUAGGAGGCAAAUCUACUGGCCCAGACAAUAUUACAGUAAAUGAGAUAUGGGUAAAUGAAGCUCUAGUAUAGAGUUAGGAAGCAAGCCUGAUGAGCCAAACCACUCAUCUCUCUGAUAUCAACACCUUUCAUCACUUUACUGCAGACUGAAUGUGAUCUUUCCCUGAUAACUUUUCAUCUAUUAAAACUGAGGAAUCUAGUGGAUGUGACUUGUUCCAUUUCAUUCCAACCAA